GAUUCCAACAGAAAAAAUCAUCAAUAACAAAGUUAUAUAGCUCAUCAAGAUAUAUAACUUCUAUUUCGGUCAUUUCUUUAUCUGAUAAAGUGAUUUGCAAGAUUGUUCACAAAAUUUACAUCUCUUGUAUAGUUAUAUAAAAACUAAAUAAGAGAUGUACAUUUGGUGAAUAAUCUUGCAAAUCACUUUCUCAGACGAAGAAAUAAUCAAAAUAGAAGUUAUAGAUCUUGAUGAGUUAUACAACUUUAUUAUUGAUGACUUUUUCAGAUGAAAUC
rnacentral:pre_miRNA from 1 species